AGCCUUUGUGGACACUGCCCUUCCCCCCUGUAAAAUGUAGUCUUCAUUUUCUAAUUGUGAGUUUACCAUAUCUAUACAAUUAAAUGGGAUUUUUGGCACAUAUAAUAUCCAAUUAUAUUUUAGUAAGAAUAAAAUGUGGUCAUAAAUAUUUCUCCCAGAGUUAGGUUAUUUUGUUGAAUUGUAAGAGUUCUUUCUACGUUCUAGAUUCAAGUCUAUUAGACGUAAGAUUUUCACAUGAUAAGUCCUCAGUGACAAACUGAAAGAAUACAAAUCAAUGACUAAACUGAGAUCCUCAAAGGAUGGAGCAACUCUCUUACAGCAGAAGAUGACCUCUUUUGCCUUUG